rnacentral:rRNA from 1 species
AACUAUGAAGCCAAGGGGUUUCGGAUCAGAGUGCCAAGUGGGCCAAUUUUGGUAAGCAGAACUGGCGCUGUGGGAUGAACCAAACGCGGAGUUAAGGCGCCUCAAUCGACGCUCAUGUGAGACCAUGAAAGGCGUUGGUUGCUUAAGACAGCAGGACGGUGGCCAUGGAAGUCGGAAUCCGCUAAGGAGUGUGUAACAACUCACCUGCCGAAGCAACUAGCCCUGAAAAUGGAUGGCGCUGUAGCGUCGUGCCUAUACUCCGCCGUCAACGGCAACGCAGGCAGCUCUCUCACGGGAGCGGCGCUGUUAAGCCUUGACGAGUAAGAGGGCCGCGGCGACGUGCGCAGAAGGGUUUUGGGCGUGAGCCUGCCUGGAGCCGUCGUCGGUGCAGAUCUUGGUGGUAGUAGCAAAUACUCCAGCGAGGCCCUGGAGGACUGAUGUGGAGAAGGGUUUCUUGUGAACAGCUGUUGCACAAGAGUCAGUCGAUCCUAAGCCCUAGGAGAAAUCCGAAGCGAUGGGUUGCCGUUAAAUGUCACAAGCUUGAUGUUGGCACCAUUUGGGCGAAAGGGAAUCUGGUUCCUAUUCCAGAACCUGGCAGUGGAACCGUUCCAAAUCGGGCCCUCAUUGAGGACUCGUCAGGGCAACCUGAAAGGACCCGGAGACGCCGUCGGGAGAUUCAGGGAGAGUUGUCUCUUCUCUAUAAGCGAUCGAGUUCCCUGGAAACCUCUAGCAGGGAGAUAGGGUUUGGAUCGCGAAGAGCACCGCAGUUACGGCGGUGUCCGAAUCUUCCCCACGGACCUUGAAAAUCCGGGAGAGGGCCACGAGGAACCCCACGCCAGAUCGUACCCAUAUCCGCAGCAGGUCUCCAAGGUGAAAAGCCU